AGAAAGAGAGAAGAAUUUGAGCUGCAAAGUAAGAGAACGGUUGUUUUAUUUAUUCUGCAUGGAGGUAUAUAUAUUACCAGACCAUAGUGGAAGACAAGUUAAAAGCAUAAACAUAAACAUAAGUACCAUAAUCAAUGUUCAUACAUAAGAUGGAUGGUCGAAAAUGUUAUCUAUCAUGAGUUCUUGGUGGAGGAUGAACCAGCCUUGAUGAUCUUUAUUAUAAAGUCGUUCUUGAUCUGUGAUCUUGAAACAGGAAGGUUGCUGAAUGAACCAGUAGGAUGUGAAGUCCUUUGGCCUUGAGCUUCGGCACCACCCUUUCCACUCAUACUUGCUCCUCCACUAUAAGCUGAAACAACUGAACUAGUUCUCCCAAUUACACUGCAACAACUGAUUAUAUACAAGUAAAAUUUACUACUUUGCUUGUUCUAUUUUUUACUGUGGCUGUAGGACUUUUUGGAUAAGAUAUUAGAUAGAAUACAAAAUGGUCAAUGAUUCGACUCCUAUGAAUGAUACUUGUUGAGAAAUAAUCAUACAAUACAAAAGAGAUUAGUUCAUUACCAUAUCCAGAUGGAUAUCAAGCUUUUUAUGACUAAAGGUCACUAUACUAAAGAAUACAAAUACAAUUUGGUGACUGCACAUCACUUCACAGUGUUCACACAAUAAAAAAACAGAAUAUACUACUUGCCUUUUGUGGAAGCGUGCAAACAUAGCAUAAACAAUGCAAGCUUGUGCACGUUGCGGUGGGGCUUACAAUGAAUCUCAUCAAGAAAGUGAGAAAUAGAGAAAAAGGAGAAUAAAACACAUUUGAGCAUGUAAUUAUUAUUUUUAUUAAUAUGGUACUUACAAAUGUCACCUUUGUAUUCUUAUUGGUUCAGGUAUGGAUACUGACGAAGAUUGGUGACGAAACCUAUGAGGCAUAUCGAUCGAAUAAUAUUUUGGAAUUAAUGGAUAUUCCAUUAAUUUGGGUGUAUUGUCCCCCAACAAGUAUUGUUUUCAUGAAUCAUAUUUUUUUUACUUUUCAGUACUAGACCAC
rnacentral:lncRNA from 1 species